rnacentral:rRNA from 1 species
AUACGGAGGGUGCAAGCGUUAUCCGGAAUCACUGGGUUUAAAGGGUGCGUAGGCGGCCUGGUAAGUCAGAGGUGAAAUACACGAGCUUAACUGGUGAAUUGCCUUUGAAACUAUCAAGCUAGAAUUAUGUUGAGGUCAGCGGAAUGAGUCAUGUAGCGGUGAAAUGCAUAGAUAUGACUUAGAACACCAAUUGCGUAGGCAGCUGGCUAGGCAUUAAUUGACGCUGAGGCACGAAAGCGUGGGGAGCGAACAGGAUUAGAAACCCUGGUAGUCC